rnacentral:lncRNA from 1 species
CUAUCUUCAGUACUAGGGAAUCUUGCACCCUCUUCUGGCCCCCGGAGCACUGCACAUGCCUGGUGCAGCACAGGCUUGGUGCAUGGACCUUUUUGCAGGUAAAACACCUAUACACAUAUAAAUAAAUCUUUGAACAAAUUCCAGGGUAUAAUUUUUACUCUCUUUCUAGUUGUGAUUCUUGGGUGGAAGAGAUGUGAGAUGAUGCCUGAGAAAGGAACCUGCCCCUGCUCAGUCUGACCGUGGAAAGAUGUUGGUGGGCUGGGAAGUGACUUAAUGGCUGAGUGCUUGUCCACACGGACACGGUUCCCGAGCUCUGAGUGGAGGGACCCGAUGGAGACAUCCAACUUGGUCUCUCUGACUUAUAUUUGGCUGUGGGUCUCUGUAUCUGCUAUCAUCAGCUGCUGGAGGCAGCCUUUCUGAUGACAACUGAACUAGCCACUCAUCUAAGAGUAUAGUAGAACAUUAUUAGGAAUCAUUUCAUUGAUUUUUUUUUUUUUGGC